GAUGAACGCUGGCGGCGUGCCUAAUACAUGCAAGUCGGGCGAACAGACGAGGAGCUUGCUCCUCUGACGAUAGCGGCGGACGGGUGAGUAACACGUGGAUAACCUACCUAUAAGACUGGGAUAACUUCGGGAAACCGGAGCUAAUACCGGAUAAUAUAUUGAACCGCAUGGUUCAAUAGUGAAAGACGGUUUUGCUGUCACUUAUAGAUGGAUCCGCGCCGCAUUAGCUAGUUGGUAAGGUAACGGCUUACCAAGGCGACGAUGCGUAGCCGACCUGGGAGGGUGAUCGGCCACACUGGAACUGAGACACGGUCCAGACUCCUACGGGAGGCAGCAGUAGGGAAUCUUCCGCAAUGGGCGAAAGCCUGACGGGGCAACGCCGCGUGAGUGAUGAAGGUCUUCGGAUCGUAAAACUCUGUUAUUAGGGAAGAACAAAUGUGUAAGUAACUAUGCACGUCUUGACGGUACCUAAUCAGAAAGCCACGGCUAACUACGUG
rnacentral:rRNA from 1 species